rnacentral:rRNA from 1 species
GAUGAACGCUGCGGCGUGCCUAAUACAUGCAAGUAGAACGCUGAAGCUUGGUGCUUGCACCGAGCGGAUGAGUUGCGAACGGGUGAGUAACGCGUAGGUAACCUGCCUGGUAGCGGGGGAUAACUAUUGGAAACGAUAGCUAAUACCGCAUAACAGUAGAUAUUGCAUGAUAUCUGCUUGAAAGGUGCAAUUGCAUCACUACCAGAUGGACCUGCGUUGUAUUAGCUAGUUGGUGGGGUAACGGCUCACCAAGGCGACGAUACAUAGCCGACCUGAGAGGGUGAUCGGCCACACUGGGACUGAGACACGGCCCAGACUCCUACGGGAGGCAGCAGUAGGGAAUCUUCGGCAAUGGACGGAAGUCUGACCGAGCAACGCCGCGUGAGUGAAGAAGGUUUUCGGAUCGUAAAGCUCUGUUGUAAGAGAAGAACGAGUGUGAGAGUGGAAAGUUCACACUGUGACGGUAUCUUACCAGAAGG